rnacentral:piRNA from 1 species
UGAUAUGUUUUAGGGAGUGGUUCCUUUGCCC